rnacentral:tRNA from 1 species
GUUUUAAUAGUUUAAAAAUAAAACAUUGGUCUUGUAAACCAAAAAUAAGUUCAACUUUUAAAACU